AGAGCUCACCCUCUCUGAAGGAGAGCAGGUGCCUCCUGAGAGCAGGGCUUCUCUACCUUGGGGCACUAUGAACAUUCUGAGUGGGGUAAGUGUUUACUGUGGGAGGCCCUAUUCAUGGCAGGAGGUUUAGCAAUCUCCCUGGCCUCUAGCCACUAGAUGACAAUAGCACCCCUGCCACACCCACUGUGUAACAACCAAAAAUGUCUCCAGACAUUGCCAAAUGCCCCCUGGGUCGGGGACGAGAGGGCAAAAGCAGCCCCAGUUGGGAGCCACUGCUUUAGAGAAUGGAGCUUGGAGCUGAUUUCUGGGACAAAUCCCAUGGGAUAGCCAGGACGUGCACCUGGGCGCCCUGAACGAGUGCCCAGAUGCUUGUGAGGCCCAGAUCUUGGGGUGUGCAGCCAGGAAGGGCUCUGCUAGCUUUCCCACCUCCCUCCUGACCUCUUCUGCCCCUCACUGGACCCAGCCCGUUGGCUUCAGGAUGGGCCCCACGGGACAUGCUUUCAUGGAACCUGAGGAAAGAAUGCACUUACAACAGCGCCGGGAGCACAGAGGCUUCCCACUACCCUUUCCGAGAAGCACGUCUAUUUUCUCUAAUUUAUUCAGUGCCGCUGUGCGUGUGUGGCCUCUCAGGUAAAGAGUGAUUUCAGCUAACAUGCACCAUGCCUGCCACCUACCUGUACUGGAGAUUUCAGACUGAUGCCUCCCUUGGGUCUCCAGGGAACUUUCUGAUUCAAAUUCCAUUUGACACAGAUUCUGAAAGUGUGCCUUGCGAGGGCCCUGGCCUGCCAUCCUCAUUAUACUCAGAAGCCCAGAAGUAGCAGUGGCAGGGGCACCCUGGAAGCCCCGGGGUUCUCAUUAGGUGACAGAUGCCACCACAGGCCUCUGCCAUUUGCCAAGCUUCCUAUUACAAGCCACCUGGGAACAUUCACUCAGGGCUUUUUCAGACAGAGCUGCACAUCUGGCACUAUCUUGAGUCUGUGCCUCUGGGGACCCCGUCUGUACUCAGUUUCCCUAUCUGCAAAAUGAAAAACAUAAUACUUAUUUCUCAGGGAUGAAUAGAGAUAAUUCAGCAUGUUUUUCAAAUUUCAGUGUGUUGCCUGCGCCCUCAUGAGUUUUACUAUGACCACAUGCCACCUGUACCAUUAUGUUUAUUUUAUUUUUUAGAGAUGGAAGGUCUCAUUCUGUUGCCCAGGCUGUAGGGCAGUGGUGCUAUCCGUAGUUCACUGCAUCUUCAAACUCCCGGGCUCAAGGGAUCCUCUCACCUUAGUCUCUAGUACUACAGGUACACACUACCAAACUUGGCUGACUCCUUUAUUUAUAUAGAGAUGAGGUCUCGCUAUGUUGCCUAGGCAGCUCUGGAACUCCUGGCCUCAAGCCAUACUCCCAUCUUGGCCUCCCAAACUGUUGGGAUUACAGACAUAAGCCACCACACCCAACUUCAUUAUUUAUUUAAUUAAUAUUUCCUUAAAUGAAUCCAUGUUGAAAGACUUGAGCUGAUCUAUUUCAAAAGGAAAUUUUUAUAUUAUUAGCAUUAGAGGAAAAUUGAUAUCACUUGUCACAAAUGCAAAGCAAUAAGAAAAGACAAAGAAGACGACGUCAUAACUGUUUAUCUGUGUACCAACUAAACUCAUGAUGAAGAGCCAUGCUGUGCCUCCUGUGCUUUUGGAAGCACAUGAAUAUAAAGGAUGCCUAGGGUCUGGCACAUAGUAAGUACUCAAUGAAUGAUCACUGCUAUGAAGAAAAUGAGGCCAACGUGGUGUCGGCCCUUGGAAACAUUUCUCUGAGUUGGUCAAGGGGAACAAUUUUGCUCCAAGAAACUGUCAUAUUUAUUCUUCUCUGAUAAUUAGAGCUCCACAAUUUAUCAUGGUCGUAAGUUGCAAAAAUGGCAACAACCAUCACUCUUCCCAAUAAGAAGUGAAGUCCAUUUCCUGCCCCUAAAAUCUGGUCUGGCCUUGUGACUUGCUUCAGCCAAUGGAACAUAGCAGGAGUGCUGGUAUACCAGUUCUAAGCCUAGAGGAAGAGGCUUUCCAAGGGGCCUGACAGCUUCUGCUUUCUCGGGCCCCUGCUAUCACCAUGUGAACAAGCCUGGGUUGGCCUGCUGCUGGAUGAGAGGCCAUGUAGAACCCAGCCAAGGUGUCCCAGUUAAGGCCAUCUCAGAGCAGCCAGCACCCAGCACCCAGCAGCCUGCCAUUGGUCUCCAGAUGCACGCAUGAGCCCAACCAAGAUCAGCCAAUCCUGCCUCAGACCAGCAGAACUGUGCAGCCCAGCCUGAGAUUUGUGAGGAGUGACAAAUGGUGUUUUCAGCUUCUAGAUGUUGGGGAGAUUUGUUAUGCAGCAACAGCUGGCCUUCCCAUUUUGUCUUGUUUGUUGCGAUGGUGCCCAGUCAUAGCAGCUCCAUUUGUGCUAGAAUUAUUUAUCUAUUUCCUCUUCUUAAUUGUCUUCCCUUCCUUUUUCACUCCUUUGUGUGUGUUUUUGAAAGACACCUCAAGUAUCUUUGGAAAGGAGCUGGAUAUAGAUAAUAAAUUGAAAAUCGAACUGAGA